rnacentral:rRNA from 1 species
GAUGAACGCUGGCGGCGUGCCUAAUACAUGCAAGUCGAGCGAACAGACGAGGCUCUUGCUCCUCUGACGUUAGCGGCGGACGGGUGAGUAACACGUGUAUAACCUACCUAUAAGACUGGGAUCACUUCGGGAAACCGGAGCUAAUACCGGAUAAUCUAUUGAACCGCAUGGUUCAAUAGUGAAAGACGGUUUUUCUGUCUCUUAUCGAUGGAUCCGCGCCGCAUGAGCUAGUUGGUCAGGUAACGGCUUACCACGGCAACGAUGCGUUGCCGACCUGAGAGGGUGAUCGGCGACAUGGGAGCUGAGACGCCGACCAGACGCCUACGGGACGCAGCAGUAGGGUAUCGGACGCAGUAGGCGAGAGUAUGACGGAGUAGCGCGGAGCGAGAGAUGGAAGUGCUCGGUGCGUAAUGAUCGGCUACGAGGGAUGAACAAAUGUGGAAGGUGAUAAGCACGUCUUGACGGUACUUAAUAAGAAAGCAACGGCUAACUACGUG